UGGCUUGUUUUCUUGCUCUUCCUUUUUUAACCUUUUCCCCACAACCUGGCUUGUGCCAUUCCCGUGACUGUCACUAACAGCCGUUGCCGAGAGAUGGAUGAGCAGAUCAGACUGAUGGACCAGAACCUGAAGUGUCUGAGUGCUGCUGAAGAAAAGGUACUAACCUGAGGCCCAUGCACGGAGCUUCCGUGUGUGCGGUGCGGUCUCUUCUGUUUGGUUUUGUUUCGCAGCUGCCUCCCUCCACCAGUUGAGUUGUUGAGUGCGUUCUCAUCUCUUCAUGGAAUGCUCCAUCCUUCCUUUCCACUCACUUGGCACCUCUCACCUCCUCUUUCCUAGUUGCUUCUCUGCCUUCCCCCAAGGGUCUCUGCCUCCCCUGGGUGAUUGGGGUUGUUGUUUGGGUUUGGCAUCCGUCCCCACACCCACACCCAAGUGCAGUCGUAACUUUUCCCUGGUAGUGAGUGAUUUCUCUCAAGUGUUCUUUCUUUACCAGAGCCAAACACUCCGAGCACAGGAGGGCCAGCUCCUGGUGUGUGAGCUCCAUGGUAGAGGGAGGAGGGUCCAUACUUGCUCAGGUUACCCAGAAACUUUUCCUCCCUGAUAUGCAGCCCCGCUCUCUCUACACAUAGGUUCAAUUCACAUCUGUGUGUCUCUCUCCUUUUUUUUUUUAUUUCUUCCUCUUUCCCCUUUCCUUUCCUGCGGUAUUUAAAAUGUUCACAGUAAGUGUUCUGAGCUGGAGGAGGAGCUGAAGA
rnacentral:lncRNA from 1 species